rnacentral:lncRNA from 1 species
AAGCCCUGACAUCAUAAAGAAAACUGCAAUUCACAUCACUAAGGCUAAUGUCACCCAAAGAUAACUUGCUAUUUUAAAUAACAUGGAAACUGCAUUGGGAUGACAGAUAAGUAUAACAAUCCAUUUUAUUUUUAACUGCUUUUGAUGUGUUCCAGACUUUGAAUAUUCAGACAGAAGAAUAAUGGAAAAGUUAUUUUUUCCCCUUAAAUCACACCUCCACACCCCAAACUACUAUUCCUCCACCCUCACCUCUGAACUUUUUGAACAAAAUUGAUGGAUCAAACUCUCCUUUUCCUGCCAGGAGAAUAGUCCUGGACUGAGCUUCAGAAGAUCUCAGAUCACUGAUGUUCUGUCUAGAAGAAUACUCCAAGAUAUAUUUCUAAGUAAUAUUCCUUCUCUUGUUGGGGGAAAUUAGAGAAGAUUUCUACCUGGUGCCAUAUCAACUCAAGGAUGGAGUCAAAUACUGAGAGGCUCUGUCAUCUGUCUUUGGAUCUCCUUCUUCUCUUAGUUUGUUGAAGAAAGGAUGUAUGUCCGAUUCCUCUGCAGUUUCCUGAAAUUCUGGAUACAUAAUGUCACAUAAAUUGGAAAGAAGGCUACUGUCCAGUUUCUUCAAUGUCAGUUCCUUGUUUGCAUACAUUCUGAAGGUGCUAUGUGCUUCAAAAAUUCUUUGCCAGACUGGGAAAAUUGUGCUUUGGAAAUCAUUAAAUUUCAUCCUUUUAAAAAUACAGGUGUGAUUUUUCACUGGACGGAAA